GUAAAAUCUACGAGCGGAAAGAGUAGGUCUAGACGACGGUCCAAGAGAGUCCAGGGUGGUGAGAGCUGGAUACCUUAGUUUAAACUGAAUGGGUCCGUGAGAUGACGCUGUGAAAUAGAGUAGCAACGUACGGGGGUCUACCGUUAAAAGGACAGGGUAUCGAAUUAUCUGUACCCUAGAGAGAAAUUGCUUAGGUGGCAUAGCGAAAUACAGACAUUUCGUCCUAAUACAGGAUGAGAUGUCUUUUUGUAUAUCUGGGCGGUUUAAAAAUGGGUGGCACCACGAGUCACUUCGUCCCAUAU
rnacentral:ncRNA from 1 species